GAUGAACGCUGGCGGCGUGCCUAAUACACGCAAGUCGAGCGAACGGACGAGAAGCUUGCUUCUCUGAUGUUAGCGGCGGACGGGUGAGUAACACGUGGAUAACCUACCUAUAAGACUGGGAUAACUUCGGGAAACCGGAGCUAAUACCGGAUAAUAUUUUGAACCGCAUGGUUCAAAAGUGAAAGACGGUCUUGCUGUCACUUAUAGAUGGAUCCGCGCUGCAUUAGCUAGUUGGUAAGGUAACGGCUUACCAAGGCAACGAUGCAUAGCCGACCUGAGAGGGUGAUCGGCCACACUGGAACUGAGACACGGUCCAGACUCCUACGGGAGGCAGCAGUAGGGAAUCUUCCGCAAUGGGCGAAAGCCUGACGGGGCAACGCCGCGUGAGUGAUGAAGGUCUUCGGAUCGUAAAACUCUGUUAUUAGGGAAGAACAUAUGUGUAAGUAACUGUGCACAUCUUGACGGUACCUAAUCAGAAAGCCACGGCUAACUACGUG
rnacentral:rRNA from 1 species